rnacentral:rRNA from 1 species
GCGGACUCGGGGCGGGGGGGCGUGGUAAUACGAAGGGAGGUUGCGGUGGUCGGAAUGAAUGGGGGGAAAGAGAACGGAGGCGGAUUUGUUAGUCAGGGGUGAAAGCCCGGGGCUCAACCUCGGAACUGCCUGUGAUACUGGAAAUCUAGAGUCCGAUAGAGGUGGGUGGAAUUCCUAGUGUAGAGGUGAAAUUCGUAGAUAUUAGGAAGAACACCGGUGGCGAAGGCGGCCCACUGGAUCGGUACUGACGCUGAGGUGCGAAAGCGUGGGGAGCAAACAGGAUUAGAUACCCCGGUAGUC